AAUGCAUUUAACAUAAUGAACAUUGAAAUUGAUAAAGAAUUUUUACGUUCACAAAGAAUGCCAGGUCGUCCAGGUUGUUUGCUAGGAGUUGACAUGCAACUUAUGAAAAAAGAAAAAAGACAAACUAUUAGAAAAAAUACAGAGGCAAGAAAACGACAAAAAUAUGAAGCUGAACUUUCAAAUAUUGAACAAGGUAAUUAUUACAAUUUUAAUACUGAAAAACAUUCAACUACCUAUUGUAGCUAUCUAUUCAUUGAUCAUAUUAUAAAUUAUUUUACUAUUAUAUUAUAGUUGAAACACGGGCAUUCACUAGUUCCGAGGAAGAGGAGAACAUAGAAUGUAGUAUGAAUUCAGAAUAUGAAGAUAUACCCGGUUCAUCUGAAGUUCAAAGAGCAACCAAAUCAAUCAUGACAUCUAGGCUUUCUGCAGCUUUAGAUAAAUGUAUGGUCAGUGAUAGAGACGCAGUACAUUUAUUAACAGCAAGUAUAGAAAGUCUUUCUUUAAAUCUGACUAGUUAUAUUAUUAAUAGAACAUCUAUUAGAAAUUUCCGAGAAAGUAUUCGAAAAGAAAUCGCAGAAAAAGUUCAUUCAGAUUUUGUUAGUUUAAAUGUAGAUUUU